UUUAAACGGAAUCUUAUAUAGUAAUUUUAUAAAAUGUAAUAAAAAUUUUAAACUGCCACAUAGACCUCUCAAAUAAAAAAUAUUAGUAUGUAUAUUUAAAUUUUGUUGAUUUGAUGUUGUUUGAUUAUAAUAUACCUACAAAAAUGGUGCAUGUGUGAUUUUACACAUUAUGAUCAGUGAAGCAGAUUUCAUACUACAGCUUCUUUAAAAUUGUCAUUUUAAUUUUUAUUGAAAUGAAAAACUUCCAAAAAUACCUACAUGGGUGAAACCCGAACGAGAGGCUAGAAUAAAAUGAAAACACAAUAACUACAUGCAUCAGUACUUAAGUUUUUAUUAUAUCACAAGUGUUAUAUACAAAUUAUGAGCGUUAUGUGGUUUUCUGCCAGAACUUCGCCGAAUUGCGCGGUGUUUUCCCCUUGCCAGAGUUCUUCUUUGGCGCCGAAUGAGAUUCACUGCCGCCGCCGGGCGCAGAUUCGUCAUUCUCUGCUUGCGUCUUUAAUGUUUUCUUUAUGUACAUUAUCUGUGGAAAUUUGACAGGUUUAGACAAAAUUUUUGACUUAAUACAAUGCCACAAACUUAACUGACCCCGUGAAAAAAACUGGAACUACGUGUCGCCAGUAGUAAAAUCGACACCAGUGACAUCGUCACCGGGUCAGUUAAGUUCGUGGCACUAUAAAUAGAUACUGUGGAAAAUUUUACGUUAAUAGCUUUAGAAUUGUUUUUGUUAUGUUUUUCUAAACUGAAUCAAAAUUAGACUACUGAAGGGAACAUCUUGACCCCUACACUGUUCAAAGAAAAAUUUGGAAUAAAACAUCUGAUUAUUUUUUUUCAAAAAUGUUCUUGGGAAAGUUUAUCUGUAAGAAGUCUUCGGGCUGCCACACAUAAAUGUAUAAGAUGCUCCUUUUAGGAGAAGCUUCAGAUUUACGGCAUCUAAAUUGUGGAAUGAUAUAAAGGGGUGGGCCCUUUUUAAAAUAAAAAUGCGCCAUCAUGAAAAGAAGAUCUGAUGCCGCAACCGUGAUAGGAUAAUUUUUAUUAAUUGUGUCAAAAUGUGAAUUUAUAUGUAAGAUUUAAUUUUUUCUUUUACCUUCCUUGUUAAGUUUCUAAGGAGUUUAUAAGAGAUAAAUAUUAUAAUAAUAUAAUUUAAAGUUAUACCUAAUUUUAAGGGUGUUUGAAAACCAGCGCACUUUUGGACAUCGAUAGCUGAGACGCAGCUUUUUGCUUCUUUGUAAGAUUCUUUGUUAGAUCUACGACCCAUAAUGUAUCCACUUUGUAUGAGAAGCAAUAAAUGACUUUUUGUUUUA